rnacentral:sRNA from 1 species
AUACAAUGAAUUUCUAACUCUUCCAGUGCGAAAAAAUGAAGGCUAUAAUAUACAUUUUAUUAUAUAAAGUAUGGUUUUGAAAAUUACUAACUCAUAGAAUUAUGCCAUGUGUCAAGUUUAUCGAUCAGAUGUUGACACGUGUAAGAAAAUAAUUAACUUUUUUCUUCUUAAAGAAAUAGAAAUACUAAAAAAAAA